UACGUAGGGUGCAAGCGUUAAUCGGAAUUACUGGGCGUAAAGAGUGCGCAGGCGGUUUUGUAAGUCUGUCGUGAAAGCCCCGGGCUCAACCUGGGAAUUGCGCUGGAGACUGCAAGGCUUGAAUCUGGCAGAGGGGGGUAGAAUUCCACGUGUAGCAGUGAAAUGCGUAGAGAUGUGGAGGAACUCCGAUGGCGAAGGCAGCCCCCUGGGUCAAGAUUGA
rnacentral:rRNA from 1 species